rnacentral:rRNA from 1 species
GACGAACGCUGGCGGCGUGCUUAACACAUGCAAGUCGAACGGAAAGGCCCUGCUUUUGUGGGGUGCUCGAGUGGCGAACGCGUGAGUAACACGUGAGUAACCUGCCCUUGACUUUGGGAUAACUUCAGGAAACUGGGGCUAAUACCGGAUAGGAGCUCCUGCUGCAUGGUGGGGGUUGGAAAUUUUCGGCGGUUGGGGAUGGAUUGGCGGCUUAUCAGCUAGUUGGUGGGGUAGUGGCUUACCAAGGCUGUGACGGGUAGCCGGCAGGAGAGGGGGACCGGCCACAAUGCGCCUGCGAUACGGCGCAGACUCGUACGGGAGGCAGCAGUGGGAAGUAUUGCACAGUGGGAGGACGCGUGAUGCAGCAACGCCGCGUGCGGGAUGCCGGCCUUCGGGUUGUAAACCGCUGUCGCCUGUGACGAAGCGGGAGUGACGGUAAUGGGUGAAGAAGCACCGGCUAACUACGUG